UACGUAGGGUGCAAGCGUUGUCCGGAUUUAUUGGGCGUAAAGAGCUCGUAGGCGGCUUGUUGCGUCGACCGUGAAAACCCGGGGCUCAACUUCGGGCUUGCGGUCGAUACGGGCGGGCUAGAGUUCGGUAGGGGAGACUGGAAUUCCUGGUGUAGCGGUGAAAUGCGCAGAUAUCAGGAGGAACACCGGUGGCGAAGGCGGGUCUCUGGGCCGAUACUGACGCUGAGGAGCGAAAGCGUGGGGAGCGAACAGG
rnacentral:rRNA from 1 species